rnacentral:misc_RNA from 1 species
GGCAGAUUUUUUGCAAGAGGUAACAUCAAAGAAGGAUCAACAACAAUAUUGGGCUAAGAAGGAUAAGCCUUAUAGGUUUAUAACAUCAAAAGAAUUUGCUGAGGCAUAUCAGUCUUUCCAUGUUGGGAAGGAACUCGCCGAUGAGCUUACAACUCCAUAUGACAAGACCAAAAGUCACCCUGCUGCUUUGUCUACUCAGAAGUAUGGUAUAGGGACGAAAGAACUGUUGAAUGUCUGCGCUGAACGAGAAUUCUUACUAAUGAAGAGGAACUCAUUUGUUUACAUAUUCAAGCUCUUUCAGCUCAUGGUAAUGGCAUUUAUAAUGAUGACCGUCUUUUUCCGUACUGAGAUGCCCCGAGAUGAUAUGGAUGAUGGAGGGAUGUAUGCUGGUGCUCUCUUUUUCGUAGUCGUUGUGAUUAUGUUUAAUGGAAUGGCUGAGAUCAACCUGACGAUUUUAAAGCUUCCAGUCUACUUCAAGCAAAGGGACCUUCUUUUUUAUCCUUCAUGGGCUUAUGCCCUUCCG